CCUACGGGAGGCAGCAGUGGGGAAUAUUGCACAAUGGGGGAAACCCUGAUGCAGCGACGCCGCGUGAGUGAAGAAGUAUUUCGGUAUGUAAAGCUCUAUCAGCAGGGAAGAAAAUGACGGUACCUGAUUAAGAAGCCCCGGCUAACUACGUGCCAGCAGCCGCGGUAAUACGUAGGGGGCAAGCGUUAUCCGGAAUUACUGGGUGUAAAGGGAGCGUAGACGGUUAUGUAAGUCUGGAGUGAAAGGCCGGGGCCCAACCCCGGGACUGCUCUGGAAACUAUUGAACUGGAGGGCAGGAGAGGCAAGCGGAAUUCCUAGUGUAGCGGUGAAAUGCGUAGAUAUUAGGAGGAACACCAGUGGCGAAGGCGGCUUACUGGACUGUAACUGACGUUGAGGCUCGAAAGCGUGGGGAGCAAACAGGAUUAGAUACCCCGGUAGUC
rnacentral:rRNA from 1 species